GAGCAAUUCUCUGCUAAGCCUGGAGUUCAAAGGAGGCCGGCGGCCGCCUAGUGGGGCCCGGAUGUCACUGCAUCAACUGCAUCGCUCCCUCCUCCCUUGCUCAGGGAUGAGCUGGGAAUUUGAGUGCAGAGUUUGGCUCACUGCAAAAUCCAAAAAUACCAGAGUGAGGGAGGCCUUGGAAAUUCAAUGCUCUCAUUUAACAAGGUAUGAGAGGAAGGAUAUUUCCCUGGGCAGCCCAACCUAUUAAUGAUGGAGCUAGAAGCCUAACCAGUACCCUGCUCCAUCAAGACUGUGCCUUUUCCUCUCUAAGGAACUGUGUCUGGUCCAUCUGUACCUAUUGGUUUCAACUGAAUUUGACUUAGUUCCUCUAGGCUGGCCAAUGAUAUAGGAAUACAAUAUCUGAUAAUCCUUAGCCACAUGAAAACAUGUUUAGAAC
rnacentral:lncRNA from 1 species